rnacentral:tRNA from 1 species
CAGGAUGUAGCUCAGUUGGUAGAGUGCCCGCCUCGGACGCGGGAGGCCGUGGGAUCGUGACCCACCAUCCUGA